GGGUGCGAUCAUACCAGCGUUAACACACCAAAUCCCAUCAGAACUCAACAGUUAAGCGCGCUUGGGCUAGAGUAGUACUGGGAUGGGUGACAUCCUGGGAAGUCCUAGUGUUGCACCCU
rfam:Picea glauca, whole genome shotgun sequence.